rnacentral:rRNA from 1 species
UACGUAGGGUGCGAGCGUUAAUCGGAAUUACUGGGCGUAAAGCGUGCGCAGGCGGUUUUGUAAGCCAGAUGUGAAAUCCCCGGGCUUAACCUGGGAAUGGCAUUUGGGACUGCAAGGCUGGAGUUUGGCAGAGGAGACUGGAAUUCCUGGUGUAGCAGUGAAAUGCGUAGAUAUCAGGAGGAAUACCGAUGGCGAAGGCAGGUCUCUGGGCUGAAACUGACGCUCAUGCACGAAAGCGUGGGGAGCAAACAGG